rnacentral:tRNA from 1 species
GGGAUAGCUCCAAGGCUGGCGUCGAGGGCUCCGAGACGGUCGAGUCGGCCCUGCGUAUGCGGGGAUGGUCGGCCGUGGGUUCGAGUCCCACCCGCCCCACCA